GACGAACGCUGGCGGCGUGGAUUAGGCAUGCAAGUCGAACGGUAAUAUUUCCUUCGGGCGAUAUGAGAGUGGCGAACGGGUGAGUAACGCGUAGGUGAUCUACCUUCAGAUGGGGGACAACCCAGGGAAACUUGGGCUAAUACCGCAUGUGGCAGUAAUGCUAAAGCCGGCCUCUGCUUGCAAGCUGGUGUCUGGAGCUGAGCCUGCGUCCGAUUAGCUAGUUGGUGGGGUAACGGCCUACCGAGGCGAUGAUAGGUAGGCGGCUUUAACGAGUGGCCGCCCACACUGGGAUUGAGAAACGGCCCAGACUCCUACGGGAGGCUG
rnacentral:rRNA from 1 species